CCUCCAGACCGGCAACAAGCAACUACCACAAACAACCGCGGAGCUGCCUUCACAGACUCUCUGUCACAUCUCCAGCCGGAUCCUACGGUCUCCAACCUCCACUGACGUGUCGGCGACUAAAGAGACUUCAAAAACCUGCCCGAAGUGAACUUCUCUUACCUGUCAGCCGGAUUUUAAUGCUUGACCCGUUCCGUCGAGCUCCGGGAUUCGACAUUCCUUAGAAAAAUUCCCCUUUUUUCACAGCGGGGUGGUCGUUUCCUGUACGCUGAUGUUCAAAAUAUAUAACAGAUCGACGGAUCUUUUGCCUUUCUUAACAAAAAAAUUAUUGAUCUAUGAACAGGGGUAAACACUACACGGACCCACAACGUUCGCACGAGACACAACUGACGGCAGCUACAGCGCGCGCUCCCGCGUGGCGCGCUGACGUCACGGCGCCGUGGCCGCGGGCGCGCCUCCGCGUUGAACGAGUAACCCGAAUAAGAUGCUCCUAAGAUGCUGCUUGGCCUGCUGUGUUCAUCCAGCUUCACACUUUGUUAUCCUGGCUGCACCAUCAUGGUUUUAGUUUAUUUAAAGAAGAGCCCAAGAAAUUGUACUGCCAUCUGAAAGAAACAAAGUGGCGCUCAGUUUAAAUGUUAUAUAUCUGCAAGACUUCAGACAGUGCAGCUUUCUGUCAGUACUGCUGUAGAAGCUCCCGAGUGUCUAAGAGACAAAACAAAACUGCAAUGCUGGAAUCCCAGGUAGACAAACAGGAGGCUGGAAGAACACAAACAGGCCAGACAGCAUCUGGAGGAAAGGAGCGGUCAACAUUUCAGUCUCUGCAGGGGAUCUGGUAGAUGACAUUGGUCCUGGCCAUGCCAGAGAGUGGGCCUUUCGUUCGGGUGAGCAGUUGUUGUAGGGUUGACGUGAGCUUGUGUGCCACUGUGAUGCCCAGUGGUCAUGGGAGUUUUGUGGUUAGCUUUGAUGUGUUCCUGAUGCUAAGCAGAAACAGGCACAGGAAUUCCUAGAAGCCUGGUACUCCUCAAAAGAAAGCCAUUAAUAAACACACAGAACUCGACCCCAUAUACACUCCACUACAAAAGGAAAACCAGAAGAAGUGAGGCAAUCCAGCCCAACAGACUCCAGAGUUUAAAAACCAGAUGGGAAAACACACCGACACUUCAGAGGCUGCACUAAUGAUGUUACCCAGCAGAGAAAUGAAACUAAUGAAACGUCUAAGGAACAACAAACCAGCCCGGCGAGGCAACCAGCCUCAACAGCCAUAACGCGAGCUACAAAUCGACUCUAAAACCUUUGAAACAGUGUUUAAUGGAUGAUAAUGUUAGAAACAAUGAAAAUUAGUCUGAUGCCGCUCCUCCUGCUCAAUUCCCAUUUGCUACUUUACAAUUCAAAUUUCAACAGAUUUUUUUUUCUUGGCACAAACUGAAACAAAUACAUACUGCUCCCCUCACCCCCACCUCGUAUAGUCUAAUUGUACAGUAGAACAGUGUUUAAUCUUUAAACCAAAUGACAUUGGAACACUUCAAUAUGCUACAAUUCCAAAGCAAAGCAAUGCUAAACAAAGCAAAGAAUCAAUCCCUCGAUUCUAUUUAAGUGUUGUGCUGGCAACAUUGGAACGUGUCCUGCAUGGAAUCCUGAACUCCAUUUAUCUGCGUCCUCUGCACAUCUCUUACUAGAUAAUUUUUGAAUAAGGCCAUCAAUCUCAAUUUAAUUGGCCCUAAACUACAGUUUUCUAGGAGAAAAGUUACAGUCAUAACCGCAUCAAUGCAGUGAUUUAUUAUAACAACAUUUCUGGUCAGGGCCUACUAGAAUGAAUCACAGGACAGUGAUGGUUAAACAAAUGACAUCAGUGGACAAUGAUGGAUCUGGUAAGGACGACAGGAAAGGGGUUGCAAGUUUAAUCCUCCACAAAACAUGCAAGAGGAGGAUGGGACAUCUGCAGCUGCAAGAAGUGCUAAAUGUAAUAUUCCCUUUGCCUUAGGAAAUGCUAAUAUUAACUGAAAGAACUGCGGAUGGUGUAAAUC